rnacentral:rRNA from 1 species
UACGUAGGGGGCUAGCGUUGCUCGGAAUCACUGGGCGUAAAGCGCACGUAGGCGGGUCGUUAAGUCAGGGGUGAAAUCCUGGAGCUCAACUCCAGAACUGCCCUUGAUACUGGCGAUCUCGAGUUCGGGAGAGGUGAGUGGAACUGCGAGUGUAGAGGUGAAAGUUCGUUAGAUAUUCGCAAGAACACCAGGUGGCGAAGGCGGCUCACUGGCCCGGUACUGACGCUGAGGUGCGAAAGCGUGGGGAGCGAACGAGG